UAAAUGAAACUAGAUACAAGCGAGCGGCGGACGGGUGAGUAACACGUGGGUAACCUGCCCAAGAGACUGGGAUAACACCUGGAAACAGAUGCUAAUACCGGAUAACAACACUAGACGCAUGUCUAGAGUUUGAAAGAUGGUUCUGCUAUCACUCUUGGAUGGACCUGCGGUGCAUUAGCUAGUUGGUAAGGUAACGGCUUACCAAGGCAAUGAUGCAUAGCCGAGUUGAGAGACUGAUCGGCCACAUUGGGACUGAGACACGGCCCAAACUCCUACGGGAGGCAGCAGUAGGGAAUCUUCCACAAUGGACGAAAGUCUGAUGGAGCAACGCCGCGUGAGUGAAGAAGGGUUUCGGCUCGUAAAGCUCUGUUGGUAGUGAAGAAAGAUAGAGGUAGUAACUGGCCUUUAUUUGACGGUAAUUACUUAGAAAGUCACGGCUAACUACGUGCCAGCAGUCGCGGUAAUACGUAGGUGGCAAGCGUUGUCCGGAUUUAUUGGGCGUAAAGCGAGUGCAGGCGGUUCAAUAAGUCUGAUGUGAAAGCCUUCGGCUCAACCGGAGAAUUGCAUCAGAAACUGUUGAACUUGAGUGCAGAAGAGGAGAGUGGAACUCCAUGUGUAGCGGUGGAAUGCGUAGAUAUAUGGAAGAACACCAGUGGCGAAGGCGGCUCUCUGGUCUGCAACUGACGCUGAGGCUCGAAAGCAUGGGUAGCGAACAGGAUUAGAUACCCUGGUAGU
rnacentral:rRNA from 1 species